rnacentral:rRNA from 1 species
GUUAUAACCGGCGAUUUCCGAAUGGGGAAACCCAGUGUGUUUCGACACACUAUCAUUAACUGAAUCCAUAGGUUAAUGAGGCGAACCGGGGGAACUGAAACAUCUAAGUACCCCGAGGAAAAGAAAUCAACCGAGAUUCCCCCAGUAGCGGCGAGCGAACGGGGAGCAGCCCAGAGCCUGAAUCAGUAUGUGUGUUAGUGGAAGCGUCUGGAAAGGCGCGCGAUACAGGGUGACAGCCCCGUACACAAAAAUGCACAUGCUGUGAGCUCGAUGAGUAGGGCGGGACACGUGGUAUCCUGUCUGAAUAUGGGGGGACCAUCCUCCAAGGCUAAAUACUCCUGACUGACCGAUAGUGAACCAGUACCGUGAGGGAAAGGCGAAAAGAACCCCGGCGAGGGGAGUGAAAAAGAACCUGAAACCGUGUACGUACAAGCAGUGGGAGCACGCUUAGGCGUGUGACUGCGUACCUUUUGUAUAAUGGGUCAGCGACUUAUAUUCUGUAGCAAGGUUAACCGAAUAGGGGAGCCGAAGGGAAACCGAGUCUUAACUGGGCGUUAAGUUGCAGGGUAUAGACCCGAAACCCGGUGAUCUAGCCAUGGGCAGGUUGAAGGUUGGGUAACACUAACUGGAGGACCGAACCGACUAAUGUUGAAAAAUUAGCGGAUGACUUGUGGCUGGGGGUGAAAGGCCAAUCAAACCGGGAGAUAGCUGGUUCUCCCCGAAAGCUAUUUAGGUAGCGCCUCGUGAAUUCAUCUCCGGGGGUAGAGCACUGUUUCGGCAAGGGGGUCAUCCCGACUUACCAACCCGAUGCAAACUGCGAAUACCGGAGAAUGUUAUCACGGGAGACACACGGCGGGUGCUAACGUCCGUCGUGAAGAGGGAAACAACCCAGACCGCCAGCUAAGGUCCCAAAGUCAUGGUUAAGUGGGAAACGAUGUGGGAAGGCCCAGACAGCCAGGAUGUUGGCUUAGAAGCAGCCAUCAUUUAAAGAAAGCGUAAUAGCUCACUGGUCGAGUCGGCCUGCGCGGAAGAUGUAACGGGGCUAAACCAUGCACCGAAGCUGCGGCAGCGACGCUGAUGCGUUGUUGGGUAGGGGAGCGUUCUGUAAGCCUGCGAAGGUGUGCUGUGAGGCAUGCUGGAGGUAUCAGAAGUGCGAAUGCUGACAUAAGUAACGAUAAAGCGGGUGAAAAGCCCGCUCGCCGGAAGACCAAGGGUUCCUGUCCAACGUUAAUCGGGGCAGGGUGAGUCGACCCCUAAGGCGAGGCCGAAAGGCGUAGUCGAUGGGAAACAGGUUAAUAUUCCUGUACUUGGUGUUACUGCGAAGGGGGGACGGAGAAGGCUAUGUUGGCCGGGCGACGGUUGUCCCGGUUUAAGCGUGUAGGCUGGUUUUCCAGGCAAA